UGAAUACGAGAUGCUACGGCGUCGAAGCAGUGUAUGUCAGACUUCCAAGAAAAGCUCGCAAUGUCAUAAAUAAAGAAUGCCUGUACCAUAACCGACACAGGUGGGUAGGUAGAGUAUACUAAGGGGCGCGAGAUAACUCUCUCUAAGGAACUCGGCAAAAUAACUCCGUAACUUCGGGAGAAGGAGUGCCUUCUUUAAGAAGGUUGCAAUAACAAGAUCCAAGCAACUGUUUAUCAAAAACACAGGUCUCCGCUAAGUCGUAAGACGAUGUAUGGGGGCUGACGCCUGCCCAGUGCCAGAAGGUUAAAGAAGUUGGUUAGCUUUUGCGAAGCUGAUGACUGAAGCCCUGGUGAACGGCGGCCGUAACGAUAACGGUCCUAAGGUAGCGAAAUUCCUUGUCGGGUAAGUUCCGACCCGCACGAAAGGCGUAAUGAUUUGGAUACUGUCUCGGAGAGGGACUCGGUGAAAUAGACUUGUCUGUGAAGAUGCGGACUACCUGCACCAGGACAGAAAGACCCUAUGAAGCUUUACUGUAACUUGAAAUUGAAAUUGGACUUUAUUUGCGCAGUAUAGGUGGAAGGCGUUGAAAGUAAUCUUGCGGGAUUAGUGGAGCCAUCAGUGAGAUACCACUCCUAUAAUGUUAGAUUUCUAACUUUGGAUCAUGAUCUGGUCAAAGAACAGUUUCAGGCGGGCAGUUUGACUGGGGCGGUCGCCUCCCAAAUGGUAACGGAGGCGUACAAAGGUUUCCUCUGAACGGGUAGAAAUCGUAUCUAGAGUGUAAAGGCAUAAGGAAGCUUGACUGUGAGACCUACAAGUCGAGCAGGGACGAAAGUCGGUCUUAGUGAUCUGACGGUGCUGAGUGGAAAGGCCGUCACUCAACGGAUAAAAGUUACUCUAAGGAUAACAGGCUGAUCUCCCCCAAGAGUUCACAUCGACGGGGAGGUUUGGCACCUCGAUGUCGGCUCAUCGCAUCCUGGGGCGGUAGUACGUCCCAAGGGUUGGGCUGUUCGCCCAUGAAAGCGGUACGCGAGCUGGGUUCAGAACGUCGUGAGACAGUUCGGUCCAUAUCCGGUGUAGGCGUUAGAAUAUUGAGAGGAGCCUUCUUUAGUACGAGAGGACCGAGAAGGACAUACCUCUGGUGUACCAGUUAUCGUGCCAACGGUAAACGCUGGGUAGCUAUGUAUGGAGAGGAUAACCGCUGAAAGCAUCUAAGUGGGAAGCCCACCUCAAGAUGAGUAUUC
rnacentral:rRNA from 1 species